AACGAACGCUGGCGGCAUGCCUAACACAUGCAAGUCGAACGAGACCUUCGGGUCUAGUGGCGCACGGGUGCGUAACGCGUGGGAACCUGCCCUUAGGUUCGGAAUAACUCCCCGAAAGGGGUGCUAAUACCGGAUAAUGUCUUCGGACCAAAGAUUUAUCGCCUUUGGAUGGGCCCGCGUUGGAUUAGCUAGUUGGUAGGGUAAAAGCCUACCAAGGCGACGAUCCAUAGCUGGUCUGAGAGGAUGAUCAGCCACACUGGGACUGAGACACGGCCCAGACUCCUACGGGAGGCAGCAGUGGGGAAUAUUAGACAAUGGGCGAAAGCCUGAUCCAGCAACGCCGCGUGAGUGAUGAAGGCCUUAGGGUUGUAAAGCUCUUUUACCCGGGAUGAUAAUGACAGUACCGGGAGAAUAAGCUCCGGCUAACUCCGUG
rnacentral:rRNA from 1 species